UGGUGCCAGAGAGGGCCCAGCUUCUGCACUGUUGAAAUACUUUCUUCCAUGGAGACCUUGAGGACUGCCUGUUCAAAAGCUCUGGAAGAUACUGUUGCAUGAUGUAGAAAAAGUAUUUAAAGUUAAUUGACGGGUGAAGACAGGAAAAGAAUUUUAUUCUCUUUGAUAUAGCUCUCGACAACAGUAAGUUCUAGUCGUGCUGCUCCAAAAGUCUGAAUUUCAUGAAUUUUCUCUGCCUUGUGAGAUUUUUUGUAGUCUUGAAAUUCGUUGGUUUUUUUCUUUUUUUUUAACAUGAUUCGGAAGUUUAUGUUACUGUUAAGGUAUUUCUAUCAACACAACUGUGAAUAUUGGUUUGUUUUAAUGCUUUCCAAACUCUGAAUGUGUGAUUAUUAUGAGCGGAACAAAGGCAAGGAGGAUUUACAAUUGGGCACAACAUCACAUGAAGCAGCAAGCUGACCAGCAUCGUUCAGACUUCGGAGUGAGAAUUUCAGACUAUGAUGUUGUCUUCAUCUGCCUACAGCCUUACCAUCAAUCUUGGCCUUUUAGCAAUGAGAGGAAAAACAGAGAAAUUACCCUCUUCUGGUGGACAGAUUGAUCAGAUUCAGGCUUUCAAUGAUUCGGAGCUUCUAGAUUGCAUUCGUAGAAAUCAAUAAUCUUUCCCCAUGUUGGCCUCUAUAUGUAGUGGCCCCUCAGCCCAAUUCUGAACUGCGACGAUUACUCAAUGCUGUUGGGGUCUUGAAACAGGUAGAUCUGAUGAAAUUACAAGAAACAAGAGGCCGUAAUGGAUGAACAAGCAAACCCAUGUUGAUCUUUCUAAAAAGGAAUCAAAAAUGGAAUUGGAAUUGAUGGUUUUCAAUCACCUACUCGAUGGUUCUCUGGUUUGCUUUGUGUUUGAUUGUAUAUGCAUUGUACUUGAUCCUUAUUACAUACCUAACAAAUAGAUUUUUCCUA